CCGCAUCUGUGCAUGCAGCAUAUCAAUAAGCGGAGGAAAAGAAACUAACAAGGAUUCCCUUAGUAACGGCGAGUGAAGCGGGAAGAGCUCAAAUUUGAAAUCUUCAAGGUUUUACCUUGACGAAUUGUAGUUUAAAGAAGUGUUUUCUGUUGAAGUUUUGGUAAAAGUUCUUUGGAAUAGGACAUCAUAGAGGGUGAGAAUCCCGUAUUUGACCAUUAUUUUCAGCUGUGUGAUACACUUUCAAAGAGUCGGAUUGUUUGGGAAUGCAGUCCAAAAUGGGUGGUAAAUUUCAUCUAAAGCUAAAUAUUGGCGAGAGACCGAUAGCGAACAAGUACCGUGAGGGAAAGAUGAAAAGAACUUUGAAAAGAGAGUUAAACAGUACGUGAAAUUGUCAAAAGGGAAGCGUUUGACACCAGUGUUGUUUUCUCGAAAAUCAAUUAAAAAGAGUUAGAUUUUGUUGUGUAUUGACCUUAACAGCUUGCAUUUCAAUUUUCUUGCUUUUUUUAAUGCACUUUUCGUUUAACAAGUCAACAUCAGUUUCUUUUGUUGUAAAAAGGUCAUUGGAAGGUGGCUUUCUUUUCGGAGAAAGUGUUUAUAGCCUUUGACUCCUGCAAUCGGAGAGACUGAGGUCUGCAGCGUAGAUCCUUCGGGGUUAGAUACAUUUGUGCUAAGUUAUAGCAUUUUAUAGACAACUUGUUGACUAUGAUUAGUCUUGUAGCUUACUCGCUUAUGCUAUUUUACCUACGCUUAGGAUGUUGAUGUGAUACUGCGAGCA
rnacentral:rRNA from 1 species